rnacentral:rRNA from 1 species
GACGAACGCUGGCGGCGUGCCUAAUACAUGCAAGUAGAACGCUGAAGAGAGGAGCUUGCUCUUCUUGGAUGAGUUGCGAACGGGUGAGUAACGCGUAGGUAACCUGCCUUGUAGCGGGGGAUAACUAUUGGAAACGAUAGCUAAUACCGCAUAACAAUGGAUGACACAUGUCAUUUAUUUGAAAGGGGCAAUUGCUCCACUACAAGAUGGACCUGCGUUGUAUUAGCUAGUAGGUGAGGUAAUGGCUCACCUAGGCGACGAUACAUAGCCGACCUGAGAGGGUGAUCGGCCACACUGGGACUGAGACACGGCCCAGACUCCUACGGGAGGCAGCAGUAGGGAAUCUUCGGCAAUGGGGGCAACCCUGACCGAGCAACGCCGCGUGAGUGAAGAAGGUUGUCGGAUCGGAAAGCUCGGUUGUAAGUCAAGAACGGGUGUGAGAGUGGAAAGUUCACACUGUGACGGUAGCUUACCAGAAAGGGACGGCUAACUACGUG